GAAUAUAUUAUUCCGUCACCAAUUUGUGGAAAUGGUUCCAUCAUUGAGAGAAAUUAUUUUAAUUUCACACGUUAUUUUCUUUACCCUCAAGUGAGAGAAACAAAAAAACUCAAACCUCUUUCUAUGCUCUCUCGUCAGCCAGGCCUUAUCGAUCCAGAUCCCACCACCACUCAACUAGAUCGGAGAUAAAGACACACUUUUCGAGCUCCCCACAGCGAGAUCUAUCUUCUGGUCAGAUCUAUUUUUUGAGAGGAGCAACUAUGUCGUCUGCCUCUCCACUGUGGUGGUGAGAUUAUUUCCUACCCUCUUCAGUUUUUCUUCUUCCUCUUUUAUUUUUUGUUUUUUUCCUUCUUUGUAUAUAUUGAGUCGCUUCAUUCUCUACCAUUAUCAUUUUAUUCAGGGAUAGUUUUGGUUGAACCACUAUGUUGGAACUCUACAGCCGCCCUGGUAUGAUCUACUUCAAAGGUGAGUCUUCUAUUUUGCUCGGUUUAUACUUCAAACCUAAAAAAAACUCAUUUUUCUUUUGAAACCCUAAAUUAUUUUUCAUCCAAAAAGUACUCGCCGUUUAGAUCGAUUGUUGUCUUAAUUUUGAAUAAAUUUCUUACUUUCCCAGUUUUAUUUUAAAAUAUAGAAGUCCUCAUUUUUAUUUGAAGUCCAUAUUGUGUACAUCCUUAUUUUCUACUAUAAAACCCAUAAUGUUAAAUCAAUUUUAGAAAUAUCGUUAGCUACAAUCUCAGUGGCAGUGCAUGCUUAGUUUGUUGGUUUUAAUUAUUUUUGAGAAAAUCCAUGUUUUAUUUAUUUUCGAAGUCACAGUGAAAGAUGAUAGAAAAUAGAGAAAAUACAAUGAAUCAUUGAGGUGGAUAUUGAUUGACAUUAUAUAUUACAAUUACCAUGAGGUUGAACUCUUGACUUAUAAUUCCAGGUGCAUGUAACAAUCUUGUAAGAUGAUGUGGUUGAUAUAUUAGCUCUGUUUAAUAUAACCAAGUACUUUAACAAGUUUUUGUUUCACUUUGACUGUCUUUAACUUCUCUUUAAAAAGUUUUUGUCUUUAACGAUAUGGCAUUACCAUGUGAAUUCCAAUAUGGUAAAGUUGAUCAUAAUUAUAAGGUGAUUGGUGUGGAAGCUAUAGUAAUUGAUGGAUCCAUUUUUAUCUCUCACUAGGGAUCAAUCCUCAGGUUACUGAAAUGAUGCAAAGAAGGGCCAUUGACAUCUAACUAGUUGACUAUUUCUAUGGUGCAAAAGAAGGGCCAUUGACACAACUUGAGAACAUAAAAAAUAUAAACAAUAGAUAAUAUGUGAGGUAUGACACUAUGUGAUAUGUGAUUGCAACUUCAUGUUACAUCUUUCUUUCUUAGUAUGCAUACUUGUUAAUUUGUUGGAGAUUUCUUUUGAACUUGUUGAGAUAGACCACUUAGUAUAUAGUCAAUUGAUGUUUUUUAGUUUUUUGUUUACAGGAAAAUUUUCUUAAGCUAUGUUCACAACUUGAGUCUCUACCUCAACAUUAUGAGUUUGGUGAUGAAUGGAGUACUUUCUCAAGCCUAUUGAUUAUGAUGCAUUGCAUAAGGAUUGGAAACAUGUGCCCAUGCCUCCAAGAUAAUAGUGAUGACUUUGUACUUGCAAUCUUCAAAAUUAUUAUAAGUUUAGUGUUUUGAAUGUAUUUUUAGAAUUUGGAUUAUGUAUAUUAUGUUUAUAAUUGUAUCAGACAAAUAUGUAAUUGCUUAUUAGUUGAAUAAAAAUUGAUGAUCAUUACAUUAUGAAUUUAUAUUAUUGAUUAGUAAUUACUUUUAUCAUAAUGUAUUAGAAUUGGACAAGAAAUUGAGCAAGAUCUUGCAGCACAGUAUUGAGACGGAAUUUUAAAAUAUGCCACUAAUUUGGGACGGAAUUGUAUAAUCCGUCACAGCAUUUUAUCAUUUUUCCGUCCCGAAUUCUGUCCCAACAUUGCGACAGAUUGGAAAAUUCCGUCCCCCAGACAUUGCGACGAGCGAAAAUGCGACGAAAUUCUUGAUAUCGCAAAUUCCGUCCCAAAAUUAUUUCGGGACGGAAAUUUCAACUGUUGUGCGACGGAUUUUUCCGUCCCAAAUGAAUUUUUUUCU
rnacentral:lncRNA from 1 species